UGAAUACGAGACGCUAAGGCGUCGAAGUAGUGUAUGUCAUACUUCCAAGAAAAGCUUGCACUGUCAUAGAUAAAAAACGCCUGUACCAUAACCGACACAGGUGGGUAGGUAGAGUAUACUAAGGGGCGCGAGAUAACUCUCUCUAAGGAACUCGGCAAAAUAACUCCGUAACUUCGGGAGAAGGAGUGCCUUAUUCUUAAGGUUGCAAUAACAAGAUCCAAGCAACUGUUUAUCAAAAACACAGGUCUCCGCUAAGUCGUAAGACGAUGUAUGGGGGCUGACGCCUGCCCAGUGCCAGAAGGUUAAAGAAGCUGGUUUGCAUUUGCGAAGCUAGUAACUGAAGCCCUGGUGAACGGCGGCCGUAACUAUAACGGUCCUAAGGUAGCGAAAUUCCUUGUCGGGUAAGUUCCGACCCGCACGAAAGGCGUAAUGAUUUGGAUACUGUCUCGGAGAGGGGCUCGGUGAAAUAGACUUGUCUGUGAAGAUGCGGACUACCUGCACCAGGACAGAAAGACCCUAUGAAGCUUUACUGUAACUUGAAAUUGAAAUUGGACUUUAUUCGCGCAGUAUAGGUGGGAGGCGUUGAUUAUAAUCUUGCGGGAUUAUUGGAGCCAUUAGUGAGAUACCACUCUUGUAAUGUUAGAUUUCUAACUUUGAAUCAUUAUCUGGUCAAAGAACAGUUUCAGGCGGGCAGUUUGACUGGGGCGGUCGCCUCCCAAACGGUAACGGAGGCGUACAAAGGUUUCCUCUGAACGGUUAGAAAUCGUAUCUAGAGUGUAAAGGCAUAAGGAAGCUUGACUGUGAGACCUACAAGUCGAGCAGGGACGAAGGUCGGUCUUAGUGAUCUGACGGUACUGAGUGGAAAGGCCGUCACUCAACGGAUAAAAGUUACUCUAAGGAUAACAGGCUGAUCUCCCCCAAGAGUUCACAUCGACGGGGAGGUUUGGCACCUCGAUGUCGGCUCAUCGCAUCCUGGGGCGGUAGUACGUCCCAAGGGUUGGGCUGUUCGCCCAUGAAAGCGGUACGCGAGCUGGGUUCAGAACGUCGUGAGACAGUUCGGUCCAUAUCCGGUGUAGGCGUUAGAAUAUUGAGAGGAGCCUUCUUUAGUACGAGAGGACCGAGAAGGACAUACCUCUGGUGUACCAGUUAUCGUGCCAACGGUAGACGCUGGGUAGCUAUGUAUGGAGUGGAUAACCGCUGAAAGCAUCUAAGUGGGAAGCCCACCUCAAGAUAAGUAUUCUCAUC
rnacentral:rRNA from 1 species